rnacentral:lncRNA from 1 species
AGCUGUCCCCCGCCACCACCCUUAGAGGCGGAGAAUGGCUACAGUGGACUUUGCUGUAUUUCCCUCCCCUAGGUUAGUUAGGCCCUCAAGACCCCAAUAGCUUAGACUCUGGUUAAACUGGUUCUCCUGAGGGCGGAUUUCUUUUUUCUUUUUUUAAGUUCUGGGACACAUGUGCAGAACGUGCAGGUUUGUUACCUAGGUGUACACGUGCCAUGCUGGUUUGCUGCCCCUCUCAACCUGUCAUCUAGGUUUUAAGCCCCGGACGCAUUAGGUGUUUGUUCUCAUGCUCGCCCUCCCCUUGCCCCCACCCACCGACAGGCCCCGGUGUGUGAUGUUCCCCUCCCUGUGUCCAUGUGCUUUCAUUGUUCAACUCCCACUUAUGAGUGAGAAAAUGGGGUGUUUGGUUUCCUGUUCCUGUGUUGGUUUGCUGAGAAUGAUGGUUUCCAGCUUCAUCCCUGUCCCUGCGAAGGACAUGAACCCAUUCUUUUCCUAAAGAGGGCAGAGCACUCUGGCGUAUUUCAAAAUGGUCCCUUCUCCCCUGUCUCUGCUAGAGCCCUGAGGGGGUUUUCUCUGAUUUUCGCUGUGAGAACCUGGCAGCAUUCCAGGAAGUAAAAUUCACAAGAGCAUGGAGACCUCCUGUGAGUGGGUCUUCCCGGGAGUCCUUAGCUCUCAGACUUGUCCACAUGCUACUGAGAAAGCCGGUUGCCCAAAAGAUGGGGUCCUUCCCUGUUUGGUGUCACGAAGCCGAUACAUGAAACCGAAGCCGACUUUAUUCAGUGACCACGGACUGAGAAGCAGGAGCUUGGCCCACAGUUCAACUUCUCAACAGGUGAGCGGGCAGGGGCUAAAUGUAGGGUUUCUGUACUGAAGGGGCUGGAGGUGAACAGCGAGGGGAAGAAUAUUCAUGUCUUCUGGAAAUGGGCGGUGAACUUCCCGCUGUCUUCCUUUCCUUGGCUGCUUUUGUCAGUUGUCGUGGCUCUAACCAGUCUCAACUGUUCGGGUAAAAAGAGGAACUUUUUAUCACAGCCGUCCUGUUUCUUUUUUUCUUUUUUUUUUUUUUUUUUGAGACGGAGUCUCGCUCUGUCGCCCAGGCUGGAGCAAAGUGGCGCCAUCUCGGCUCACUGCAGGCUCCGUCUCCUGGGUUCACGCCAUUCUCCUGCCUCAGCCUCCCGAGUAGCUGGGACUACAGGCGCCCGCCACCACGCCCGGCUAAUUUUUUUGCAUUUUUAGUAGAGACGGGGUUUCAACGUGUUAGCCAGGAUGGUCUCGAUCUCCUGACCUCGUGAUCCGCCCGCUUCGGCCUCCCAAAGUGCUGGGAUUAUGGGCAUGAGCCACCGCGCCCAGCCGGGUGUCCUGUUUCUUAAACACAGUUGGCAAAGGGUAGAAGUUCAGCAACGCAGGCAUCGCACCAGGUCACACACACCCAGCCCCAGCACUUCGUCAUCUGGUUCAGGUUUUCCAGCCCUGGAUCCUGUGGAGGUGUCAGCCCCAGUCUGCUGAGUCUGUCUCCUGAUCUGGGGCAGCGGUUUGCCCUGUGGCCUUUCCUCUCUCACAGACCUAAGAAGGACCGUCGAUAUUUUCCAGCCUGUUUAGCCUUUUACUUGUUGGGAUAGAAUAUGGCCAGUUCCAAACUUCCUACCUGCUGGAGACCUGGGGUCCACACGUUUCCUUAACACCAUCAUCUUUCUCCUCUCCUGGCAUCAGUCCUGGUCACUGUGCUCACGCCAGCCUCUCCAUCCCGGCUCCUCUUCCAACUCUGCUUCCUGCUUCAGUGACUCGGAUGUCGCCCUUCGCCCCAUGCCCAGGAAACCGGAGGUGGCAGUGGGGGAAGGGAGGGAGGCGUGGAGAAGAUACCCUGUCACCAUCUCCAUGCCCCUCCCCGGGACCACACAGGUCGCCUGGGCCCUGACCAAAUGGUUCGUUGUCCGCCAAGCCAGACAGCAGGGCAGGCGCGCUCUGUGCAAAACCGAGUCGUGUGCGGGCCCAGGGUGGCGCUCGGGGCGCUUCCAGCGCACGUCACCUCAUCUGCGUCGUCACCACUGUCGCCUCCGAAAGCGCAUUCCGUCGUCAAAAUACACCACGAGGUCCCGGGUGCCCUCACCGCCCUCCCCUUCCUCGCCCUCUCGUCGUUGCUG